rnacentral:rRNA from 1 species
UACGAAGGGGGCUAGCGUUGCUCGGAAUCACUGGGCGUAAAGGGUGCGUAGGCGGGUCUUUAAGUCAGAGGUGAAAUCCUGGAGCUCAACUCCAGAACUGCCUUUGAUACUGAGGAUCUUGAGUUCGGGAGAGGUGAGUGGAACUGCGAGUGUAGAGGUGAAAUUCGUAGAUAUUCGCAAGAACACCAGUGGCGAAGGCGGCUCACUGGCCCGAUACUGACGCUGAGGCACGAAAGCGUGGGGAGCAAACGGG